rnacentral:lncRNA from 1 species
AAGAAAUACGUAGAAAAAAAAUGAAUUCACAUGGAAAAAGAUUGUAAAAUAGUAAAAAGCUUCUUCUUCUUCUUUGUUUUCAUCUUCAAUCUCCAUUGUAGCAUGAACGUGAAUCAUUCCACAACUGAAAUUACUGAGACUCAUUGAAGAAUUUUCCAUCGUCUAGCUUUUCAAAGACUUGACUCCUUAAAUUUGCAAGGGAUUCUUCAUCUGCCAAUGAAAAGAAUGAAUUCCAACAAAAAAAUAUUAAACCAUAAACAGAAGGAAAGAAACAACAAUUUCCAUACAAAGAUAACUAGAAGAAGAACAACAAAAGAAAAAUAACACCUUUUCAGAAAAUUUCUUUCUGAUUUGUCCGAUUAGAAGACCCAUUUUCUUUUCAAAUCAUGUAUAAGAAAAACUUGUUUGACGACUUGUGAAGUAAUUCAUCGCAGCACAAUCUGUUUCCUUCCUUCCUUAUAUUACUACUUUG